GACGAACGCUGGCGGCGUGCUUAACACAUGCAAGUCGAACGGAAAGGCCCUGCUUUUGUGGGGUGCUCGAGUGGCGAACGGGUGAGUAACACGUGAGUAACCUGCCCUUGACUUUGGGAUAACUUCAGGAAACUGGGGCUAAUACCGGAUAGGAGCUCCUGCUGCAUGGUGGGGGUUGGAAAGUUUCGGCGGUUGGGGAUGGACUCGCGGCUUAUCAGUUUGUUGGUGGGGUAGUGGCUUACCAAGGCUUUGGCGGGUAGCCGGCCUGAGAGGGUGGCCGGGGACCAUGGUACUGAGAGACGGCGCAGAGUGGUACGGGAGGCAGAAGUGGGGAGUAUUGCAGAAUGGGCGGAAGUGUGAGGCGGCGGUGCUGGGAGCGUGAUGACGGCUUUCGGGUGGUAAACCGCUUUCGCCUGUGACGAAGAGUGAGUGACGGUAAUGGGUCAAGAAGCACCGGCUAACUACGUG
rnacentral:rRNA from 1 species